rnacentral:tRNA from 1 species
UGGCACAAUAGGUAGUGCAUCAGUCUCACAAGCUGAAGGUCCCGAGUUCGAUCCUGGG